AUCAUUUUAGUUUAUUAAAACACCAUAUUUUCAUUAUGGAGAUAAAUUUUUAUAAUUUAGAAGAUA
rnacentral:tRNA from 1 species